CGCGUUCGCCGGGAUGUUGCCACCGCUUAUCGGCACCCACGUGGGUCUGCAGCCGCAAAGAACCUGCGGAAAUGCAAUGGAAAACUUUUUGUAAACUGGAAAGCGCAUGGCGGGAAUAUUUUGCAAUUUCUGUGACUUACCUGGUAGUCCGACUUUCCAUGCUCGGCGCCGCCCCAGGCGACGUAGCAAACGGAAUGACUGGGCUUCACCUUGCCAGGGAUGAGGGCACCCUCAUGUUGAGCCCUACCGACGAACAGAGACUCGCCGUCGUGUCCAC